rnacentral:rRNA from 1 species
UACGUAGGGAGCAAGCGUUGUCCGGAAUCAUUGGGCGUAAAGCGCGCGUAGGCGGCCCUGUAAGUCCGCUGUGAAAGUCAAAGGCUCAACCUUUGAAAGCCGGUGGAUACUGCAGGGCUAGAGUCCGGAAGAGGCGACUGGAAUUCCCAGUGUAGCGGUGAAAUGCGUAGAUAUUGGGAGGAACACCAGAUGCGAAGGCGGGUCACUGGGCUGAUACUGACGCUGAAGUGCGAAAGCCAGGGGAGCGAACGGG